GUUGCGGCUGCUUACCUUGCAAGUCGAGGGGUACACGGACAGCUUGCUUUCCGCUGACGACUGGCGCACGGGUGCGUAACGCGUAUAGAAUCUGCCUUAUACAGAGGGAUAGCCCAGAGAAAUUUAAAUUAAUACCUCAUAGUACUAUUUUAUGGCAUCAUAUUAAUAGUUAAAGAUUUAUCGGUAUAAGAUGACUAUGCGUCCUAUUAGCUAGAUGGUAAGGUAACGGCUUACCAUGGCGACGAUAGGUAGGGGCCCUGAGAGGGGGAUCCCCCACACUGGUACUGAGACACGGACCAGACUCCUACGGGAGGCAGCAGUGAGGAAUAUUGGGCAAUGGAGGCAACUCUGACCCAGCCAUGCCGCGUGCAGGACGACGGCCCUAUGGGUUGUAAACUGCUUUUAUACAGGAAGAAACACAGCUACGUGUAGUUGUUUGACGGUACUGUAAGAAUAGGCACCGGCUAACUCCGUGCCAGCAGCCGCGGUAAUACGGAGGGUGCAAGCGUUAUCCGGAAUCAUUGGGUUUAAAGGGUCCGUAGGCGGUUCAAUAAGUCAGUGGUGAAAUGCUAUAGCUCAACUAUAGCAACUGCCAUUGAUACUGUUGAACUUGAGUUACAUUGAAGUAGAUGGAAUAUGUAGUGUAGCGGUGAAAUGCAUAGAUAUUACAUAGAACACCGAUUGGCGAAGGCGUCCUACUAGUGUACACUGACCUUGAUGGACAAAGCUGGGGAGCGAACAGGAUAAAUACCCCUGGUAUCCACGCGUAAACGAUGGAAAACUACUUGUGGUACAAUACUCAGUGGCUAAGCGAAAGUGAUAGAUCCCACUGGGAAUCCUUCCCAGAUGAAUCCAAAGAAUUGACGGGGCGCGUCAACCGCUGGAACAUUGUUUAAUCGA
rnacentral:rRNA from 1 species